CUGAUAACUUGCACGCUGAAUAAGUUUGUGCAAGCAGUCUUUAUUUGGAGGUGACAUGUGAAGACCUCCAGUGCUUCACAAAGGUCUGAAGAUGGGGUGAAGCUAGCUCCUAGGUCUUGGAACAGACGCAAGUACUCUGGUUUUGAGCAUAAUUUUUUGUAGGCUUUUGCUUUCCCAACUUUAUACAGAGCACUCACAGUAUCACAUCCAGAAAAGGCAUGCAGACCUACAAGGGCAUGACAUUUGUCCUCACCAAGAUGGCUGUGUAGUUUGCUUAUAUCUGUAAUGUGUGUUUCUCUUCCCUUGGCUGUGUGGAAGUACAGAUGACCGUCUAUUUGUGGGCAAAAUGCUAGAGCCAGCACAAAAACAUCUGUGUCUGGACUCCUAAUCACCAGGUCACUGCAGGACUUGGAUGCAUAAGCGGCGUGCAGCAGAAUUCGUGUAUCUGCCUCUUCUUGAGUAGUCUCAAGAUGUGGUCCAGCGUUGGAAGAAGUACUCAAGCAAGUUGUUUUUGUUCUCCCCACAUUGCAGGAAUUUUUUCCAUUGCUUGGGUGUUCUCUGCUCGUCACCAUAGAUUUUUAUUUUUUGGUAGCCCUGCUCGGCCCGUCUACUUCGCUCAGCAUUUUUGAUACUUUGGUUGUUAUAUGUGUCACAUACAAAAUGGAGCUCUGUUGACUUCAUCUCUUUUGCUGAGUGAACUAGUGUCCUCAGUACGUGGUCAGCAUAUUGCCCAAAUGUUGGCAAAGGCUUUAGCUGUUGCACAAGAGCCAUAGCAUCCCAAAUGUAGACUGAGCCAUCGGGGCUGUCUUUCACAGUAGCAGGCGGGCCGAUCUCCUCCUGCAAG